rnacentral:rRNA from 1 species
CGGGUGAGUAACACGUAGGUGACCUACCUUAUAGUUGGGGAUAACAGCGGGAAACCACUGCUAAUACCGAAUGUGUUGUGUGACAUUAGAAAAGCACAACAAAGAUUGCCUCUACUUGUAAGCAAUCGCUAUUUGAUGGGCCUGCGCGGCAUUAGCUAGUUGGUGAGGUAAUGGCUCACCAAGGCAACGAUGCCUAGCUGGUCUGAGAGGAUGAUCAGCCACACUGGAACUGAGACACGGUCCAGACUCC